rnacentral:lncRNA from 1 species
AGGGCUGGAACGAAUGAACGAGAGCUGUGCAUGGAGGGAACAAAAUAACGAAAGGAACGAAAAAGCAGCAGCUAAAAAAGGUUGCGCACAAACGAGCAACCCCCACCCCCUUCACGUUUUCUUCUCCAACGACCCCUUCCCCGUUCUUCUUCUUCAACCAACAGCCCCCAAAACCGGGAACAACCCAGCUCGCCGGAGAAAACACCAACGACCUCGUCUCUGCCUGAAACUCGCCGAAAAAAAGAGCUCCACCUGCUCAUCGGAGUAACGAGUUCCGAACGCGACAAGUAGAACCAAGCGACCUCAUACCAGCAGCUUCCGACGAGCCCACCCUAGCGAAACGACCCAACAACUAGCUCCCCACCACCCAUCUCGUCGACCUUGACCCACCAAACCUUCUGCCUGCGACGCCAUAUCCGGCGAGCUUCACCUUCGCACGCACACAGUCACACACAUGAACGGAGUGAGGUAACGAUCGUAAGGCAGCUGAAGUUUGGAGUCGUUUGUGAGUUCGAGUCGUGUGGGAGUUGCCGUACAUUGGUUCCGAUCUAUGGUUAUCGUUGUCCAUUUUUUUCGUCGAGCUCGAGCUACUGAAACUUGACACUACUGUAAACUCAGGCGUUCCGGUCUUACGUCGAGGUGAUGCUAGUUUCGUUCUAGUCGUAGUUCCGUCGAGGUCGUCAAAAAAUGUUCCGGUUAGUUGGUUUCUUUCUCUGCAAUUUGGCUUUCAUUUUUUCAUGGAUUCAGAAGCUGGAUUUAGCUUCAUUUUGAUUGUUGUUGUUCAUCAAGAUAAAUGUUUCUCUGUUGAAAAUUUUGAUCCUUAUAACUUUGACUCAUUGAAAAUUACGUAUUUGUCCCUAUGAAGUUUCAUGUCAUUCCAACAAACUGAUAAUAGAGGUAUAUAAUGCGCUUUCUAUAAAAAUGAUUCAGUUUAAAUUAGUGGGUUCUUUUUCUGCUGGAUUAUCUUUUUGUUAUUCAAAUAUCCUUAAGUUGCAUGCUUUGAUCAAAUUAUGGUUAAUGGACAGGUCGAUUUUAUAUUGUAAUUUUAAACAACAGAUUCCUAGGUUUUUCUUUUAAUCGAUGGUGCAAUGGUUGUUGAUACAUAGUUGACGUUGACCAAUCAUGCUCAAUAACAAUGUUAUAUGAUGGCUACUCGUAAAACUGGUCCUUACAACAAAUUUCAGAGUAGAUCGGAAAAUAAUUAAAUGCGCUAGUUGCUUUAGGCGUUAAUUAAAUAAUUAUCGCGGCUACGGGUACAGUUCCCGUGACGUAGUUGUGAUUUGUAAUUACUAAAUUCGGGUGUGCAUUUCAUGUAACCCGAUCCAAAUCUCAACGAUGUUAAAAUAUGUCAAGACCACAGGCGCAUUUAUGUGACGUGGUUCGAGACGUGUUUUAGUAACGUUGCAAUUUUCUCUAAAAAAUGAAAUAAACUGGUUAAAAGUUAAAAUGCAUGUAGGUUCAUAAUUGUUUAAAAUCAGAUAAUUAUGCCAAAUAUAGCAGUUGAGCAACCGUGCUAGAACCACAGAACUCGGGAAUGCCUAACACCUUCUCCCGGGUUAACAGAAUUCCUUACCCGGAUUUCUGAUUCGCGGACUGUUAAGCAGAGUCAACCCUUUCCUCGACUCGGGAUUUGAACCGGUGACUUGGGACACCAUAAAUAUCCCAAGUGGUGACUCUGAAUCUUUUAAAAAUAAAUCCCGUUUCGAUUGUCAUUUAAUUAGAAAAACUCCCUUUUAUACAUCCUUUUCCGGGGGUGUAGGUGAAAAAAGAAGGUGUGACAAGCCGCAGAUGCGAAAUUGGGUGUGAAGAGCUAAAGGCGCGGGUACGGAAGUUAGGUCGCACCUACGAGAUCGUAGGUGCGGUAGUUUAUGCGCAGAUGCGGUUUUCAGGAUUUAGUGGAAACCGCUAAAGCGGUCAUCUGGCCGUAGAAGCGGUUCGCAGGUGCGAAAAAUGGGCCACAUGUGCGAAAUCCCUGGGCCAGAAAGUAUAUAAGGUUUCCUUUGCGAAUUUUUGGUUAUUUCAUCAUUUUUCUCAUACGGGUUUGAGCUUGAGGGAGCAAAUUGAAGAGUGAUUUCAAGAGGAUUUCGUGGAGGUAAGGUUUUUGGACCCUAAACUUGUUUCUAUGAAGCUUUUUGACUAAUUAAUCUUGACUCUAUGGAAAUUAGUAGCAAAAAUUGGGGGUUUAGGGCUUGAAUAUUGGAGACCUUAAUCUAGGGAUUUGCGGGGUAACUUGUGGUUGGAUUUUGGUAUUUUUGGUAUGUAUGGACUCGUGGGAGGAUACGGAUUUUAUUGAUGUAAUUUUUAUUGGAUUCCGAGACGUGGGUUCGGGGUCGGAUUUGGUCAAUUUCGGGAUUUGUGUAGUAAUUUGAUUAUUUUCAUAUGGGCUUCAUUCCCUUAGCAUAUAUUGAUGUUGUGAUGUUGUUUUUGGAUAGAUUUGACGUGAGUUGAGGCCGAGUUGAGGGGUAAAGGCAUCACAGAGUAGUAUUUUUACUAGUUUGAGGUAAGUAACCAUUGUAAAUCUAGACUUGAGGGUAUGAAACCCCGGUAUGUUGUAUUGUUUUGAUAAAUGAGGUGACACACAUGCUAGGUGACGAGCGUGUGGGCGUGCACCGGUAGGGAUUGUGACUUGGUCCAUCCCGUAGCGACUAUUAAGCUGCGUACUUGAUUUGAAAUCUUAUGAUAUUCCGUAUUUUAGAGAUUGAUACUAUAUUUUGGGUUGUACGCCAUAUAUGGAGCCUUGUGCCGACCUGUUUAGGACCUUAGGAGUAUCUUUACUACUUUCCUCACUCUAUUUAUUUUGGAAGCAUAUCCUCAGUCAUGUUUUACUUGUUUAUUGUUUAAAUUUGGUUUCAUCACUCUAUUUUUUAAUAUAUGAAAACAGUUUGGGCUGAGUUCCCUGAUUUUUACUGAUAUGCCCGAGUGGCCAUGAGGUUAAUGACCGAGAGAGGUUUAGGACCUAAUGGUGAGGAUGAUAUAUCUAUUAUGGAUAAGGCUGCACGCCGCAGUGAUAUCAUAUAUAUAUGGACCGGGCUGCACACUGCAGCGAUAUACAUAUUGAUCGGGCUGCACACCGAAGCGAUAUAUAUUGGAUCGGGCUGCACGCCGCAUCAAUUAUUAUCAUUAAUAUGACUAUGAGAUAUUUAUUGAGCCGGAGUGCUGAGUGUGAGUACUGUGUGACGAGAGCUGAGUCACGAGUGACUGAGAGGCUUGCCCGAGAGGCUAUACUUAUGAGUGAUACCUUGCCCGAGGGGCUUGUCUACGACAUUUUAAUAUUUUCACUCUUCUUUUAUACUGAGCCUGUUUUGAAGAAUGUUGAAUAAAUGUUUUCAAUGGAUUUUGAACUAAAACUGGAGUUUUAUGAGAUAACUGGCUAUUAAAUUGCAGAAUUUGACUUGAUAUUUUUGUUGAGACUUGUUAUGUUAUUUUAAAUGCUCGUCACUACACUUAGACUCUAUUUACUUAUUGAAUUGGUGUACUCACGUUACUCUCUGUACCUUGUGUGUGGAUCCAGGUGCCCGAGCAUUAGAGUGAGAGCUUCCAGCACUCUCAGAGCUUUACCGGAGACUGCAAGAUAGCUACACGGCAUUCGUAUCCCUGCUUUCCUCCUUCCUAUCUUAGUAUUCUGUUAUUUCAGACUUAUGAUGUAUUAUUCAGUCAGUUUUGAGUUGUAUUUAGAGGCUCUUGACUAGUGACACCGGAUUUGUUGGGCUGUGUUAAUAUUUUGUAUGGGUUUUCCGUAUAUUCUCUUUUUAGCCAUCUAUUUCAUAUGACGAAUUUGAGACUUAUUCGAUACUAGAAAAUGAUUUUUUUAAAAGAUUUCAUUGUGGUAAAUGUUUGGUUGGCUUUCCUAGUACUGUGAUAGGCGCCAUCACGACUGGGGUAUUUGGGGUCGUGACAAGUUGGUAUCAGAGCCUAGGUUACAUAGGUCUCGCAAGCCAUGAGUCGGUUUAGUAGAGUCUCGCGGAUCGGUAUGGAGAUGUCUGUACUUAUCCUCGGGAGGAUGCAGAACCUUUAGGAAAAACUUCACAUUCUUGAAAUUCCUGUCGUGCUAAUCUGUUGAUUCUAGUACUAAACUUUUGUUAUUUUAUUCUCUCACAGAUGGUGAGGACAUGUGCUACCGGUCAGGAUGGACGACCACCAGUAACCACCAGUUGGGGCCACUAGAGGCCGAGGACGCGGCCGAGGCUGUGGUAUGGGUAUGGGUAUAGCCCGCACAACAGCUAGGGCAGCACCUGCAGAUCUACUAGCCGCCCCAGUUCAGGAUUAGGUCCAAGUUGCAGACGCUCCAGCAGCACCAGCUCAGGCACCGGUUGUGCCUAUUGUAAUUCCAGGCCUUUAGAAGGCUCUAGCUCAGAUCCUAUCACUGUGCACUGGUUUGGCUCAGGCAGUCUCAGUUACUACGGCCGCAACUACUUCUCAGGCUGGGGGAGGUACUCAGACUCCCGUUGCUCCCACACCUGAGCAGUUUGUGCAGGGACUUCAGACACCGGGGGCACCUCCAGCCCAGCCGGUUGCACCAACUCAGGAGUAUGUAGUACUAGUUAUGCCUGACGACGAG